AUUGAACGCUGGCGGCAGGCCUAACACAUGCAACUCGAACGAGUGGCGGACGGGUGAGUAAUGUAUGGGACACUGCCCGAUGGAGGGGGGUACCUACUGGAAACGGUAGAUAAUACCGCAUACCAUCGCAUGUGCACCGAGGGGAUUAGCUCGUAGGCGGGGUAACGGCUCACCUAGGCGAAGAUCGCUAGCUUGUCUGCGAGGAUGACCAGCAAAACUGGAACUGAGACACGGUCGAUACCCCUACGAGAGGCAGCAGUGGGGAAUCUUGCACAAGGGGCGCAAGCCUCAUGCAUCCAUGCCGCGUGGCUGAAGAAGGCCUUCGGGUUGUAAAGUACUGUCAGCGAGGAGGCGUUACUCGCAGAAGAAGCACCGGCUAACUCCGUGCCAGCAGCCGCGGUAAUAC
rnacentral:rRNA from 1 species